rnacentral:rRNA from 1 species
AGUGAACGCUGGCGGUAGGCCUAACACAUGCAAGUCGAACGGCAGCACAGAAGAGCUUGCUCUUACGGGUGGCGAGUGGCGGACGGGUGAGGAAUACAUCGGAAUCUACUUUUUCGUGGGGGAUAACGUAGGGAAACUUACGCUAAUACCGCAUACGACCUACGGGUGAAAGCAGGGGAUCUUCGGACCUUGCGCGAUUGAAUGAGCCGAUGUCGGAUUAGCUAGUUGGCGGGGUAAAGGCCCACCAAGGCGACGAUCCGUAGCUGGUCUGAGAGGAUGGUCAGCCACACUGGAACUGAGACACGGUCCAGACUCCUACGGGAGGCAGCAGUGGGGAAUAUUGGACAAUGGGCGCAAGCCUGAUCCAGCCAUACCGCGUGGGUGAAGAAGGCCUUCGGGUUGUAAAGCCCUUUUGUUGGGAAAGAAAAGCAGCAGGUUAAUACCCCGCUGUUCUGACGGUACCCAAAGAAUAAGCACCGGCUAACUUCGUG